CCAUAUCGCAUUGAAACAUGAAUUCCCAUAUGAUCAUCGAAGUUAAACAAUGUUGAGCGUGGUCAGUACUUAGAUGGGUAACUAUUUGGGAAUACUAGGUGCUGUAAG